rnacentral:rRNA from 1 species
UGGGGAAUAUUGCACAAUGGGGGAAACCCUGAUGCAGCGACGCCGCGUGAACGAAGAAGGUAUUCGUAUCGUAAAGUUCUGUCCAAUGGGAAGAUAAUGACAGUACCAUAGAAGAAAGCUCCGGCUACAUACGUGCCAGCAGCCGCGGUAAUACGUAUGGAGCGAGCGUUGUCCGGAAUUAUUGGGCGUAAAGGGUACGCAGGCGGUUUAAUAAGUCGAAUGUUAAAGAUCGGGGCUCAACCCCGCAAAGCAUUGGAAACUGAUAAACUUGAGUAGUGGAGAGGAAAGUGGAAUUCCUAGUGUAGUGGUGAAAUACGUAGAUAUUAGGAGGAAUACCAGUAGCGAAGGCGACUUUCUGGACACAAACUGACGCUGAGGUACGAAAGCGUGGGGAGCAAACAGG